rnacentral:rRNA from 1 species
AUUGAACGCUGGCGGCAUGCCUUACACAUGCAAGUCGAACGGCAGCAUGAUCUAGCUUGCUAGAUUGAUGGCGAGUGGCGAACGGGUGAGUAAUACAUCGGAACGUGCCCUGUAGUGGGGGAUAACUAGUCAAAAGAUUAGCUAAUACCGCAUACGACCUGAGGGUGAAAGUGGGGGACCGCAAGGCCUCAUGCUAUAGGAGCGGCCGAUGUCUGAUUAGCUAGUUGGUGAGGUAAAGGCUCACCAAGGCGACGAUCAGUAGCUGGUCUGAGAGGACGAUCAGCCACACUGGGACUGAGACACGGCCCAGACUCCUACGGGAGGCAGCAGUGGGGAAUUUUGGACAAUGGGCGAAAGCCUGAUCCAGCAAUGCCGCGUGUGUGAAGAAGGCCUUCGGGUUGUAAAGCACUUUUGUCCGGAAAGAAAUGGCUUUGGUUAAUACCUGGGGUCGAUGACGGUACCGGAAGAAUAAGGACCGGCUAACUACGUG